UCCGGGGAUAACAGGCUGAUACCGCCCAAGAGUUCAUAUCGACGGCGGUGUUUGGCACCUCGAUGUCGGCUCAUCACAUCCUGGGGCUGAAGUAGGUCCCAAGGGUAUGGCUGUUCGCCAUUUAAAGUGGUACGCGAGCUGGGUUUAGAACGUCGUGAGACAGUUCGGUCCCUAUCUGCCGUGGGCGCUGGAGAAUUGAGGGGGGCUGCUCCUAGUACGAGAGGACCGGAGUGGACGCAUCACUGGUGUUCGGGUUGUCAUGCCAAUGGCACUGCCCGGUAGCUAAAUGCGGAAAAGAUAAGUGCUGAAAGCAUCUAAGCACGAAACUUGCCCCGAGAUGAGUUCUCCCUGAGACUUUAAGUCUCCUGAAGGAACGUUGAAGACKACGACGUUGAUAGGUCGGGUGUGUAAGCGCAGCGAUGCGUUGAGCUAACCGAUACUAAUGAACCGUGAGGCUUAACCUU
rnacentral:rRNA from 1 species